rnacentral:rRNA from 1 species
CCGUAGCCGCGGUAAUACAGAGGGUGCGAGCGUUAAUCGGAUUUACUGGGCGUAAAGCGUGCGUAGGCGGCUUUUUAAGUCGGAUGUGAAAUCCCUGAGCUUAACUUAGGAAUUGCAUUCGAUACUGGGAAGCUAGAGUAUGGGAGAGGAUGGUAGAAUUCCAGGUGUAGCGGUGAAAUGCGUAGAGAUCUGGAGGAAUACCGAUGGCGAAGGCAGCCAUCUGGCCUAAUACUGACGCUGAGGUACGAAAGCAUGGGGAGCAAACAGGAUUAGAAACCCCCGUAGUCCCUGUCUCUUAUAC